GGGGUUUAGUACUAAGUUAACAUCAUGUUAGAGCAAAAAAUUAUAAGUGCAAAACAUCAUUUCGACUAAUUUUCAUUAUUGUCUCUUGGUUUUUCCCCAAUAUCUAAUAGCAGUUCAAGCUUUUGAAAUUCAUUAGUAAAUUAAUAGAUACAAAAAUUAACUCUCCAACUUCAAUGAUGAAAUUUAUAGUUUUUCAUAAUA
rnacentral:lncRNA from 1 species